UACGUAGGGGGCGAGCGUUGUCCGGAGUUACUGGGCGUAAAGCGCACGCAGGCGGUCUGCUAAGUUUGGAGUGACAGUUGGUGGCUUAACUGCCAAAGUGCUUCGAAAACUGACAGACUUGAGGGCUUCAGAGGGACACGGAAUUCCGGGUGGAGUGGUGAAAUGCGUAGAGAUCCGGAGGAACACCACAGCCGAAGGCAGUGUCCUGGGGAGUACCUGACGCUCAGGUGCGAAAGCCAGGGGAGCGAACGGG
rnacentral:rRNA from 1 species